rnacentral:rRNA from 1 species
AUUGAACGCUGGCGGCAGGCCUAACACAUGCAAGUCGAGCGGAGCGGCGGACGGGGGAGUAAGGCCGAGGAAUCUGCCAGGUAGUGGGGGAUAGGGUCCGAAAACGGGCACUAAUACCGCAUACUAUCAGGUGAGCCGAGGUCGGAUUAGCGGGUUGGUGGGGUAAUGGCCUACUAAGGCGACGAUCCGUAACUGGUCUGAGAGGAUGAGCAGCCACACUGGAACUGAGACACGGUCCAGACUCCUACGGGAGGCAGCAUUGGGGAAUAUUGGACAAUGGGCGAAAGCCUGAUCCAGCCAUGCCGCGUGUGUGAAGAAGGUCUUCGGAUUGUAAAGCACUUUAAGUUGGGAGGCGUUACCAACAGAAUAAGCACCGGCUAACUUCGUGCCAGCCGCCGCGGUAAUUC